CCUCUCUGUUAUGUUAUUUGUGUUAGCGUCCGUUUUAUUUAGCGGUUUAUUUUAAUUUUAUAACUAUGGGAAGAGUGAAACCAUGGUGCGUGUACCUGGGUGUAACGAUAGAAAGACAAAAAGAUAGGAAAUUACCUUAUUUGUGGUUUACAUUUUGAGGAUAGCUGCAAAGAAGCUAAUGAAAAACUACGAAUUAGUGCCUUACCAUCAGUUCAUUUACCUGGAUACGUAAAAACGCAAAAUGAUAAUUUUUUGCCUCCAUCCCCUCCUGAAAUCCUUACAUCAACUCCUAAAAAAAUAAAAGUAGAAAACGGAUAUUCAGUGUUAUGAAAAAUGAUGUGGAAUUAAAUGUUAUCCAAGAACCUGAAAAUCCCUCAACUUCAAAUAUUUCAAUGGCAUCCUCCAUAAUGAAUUAUGAUACAAUAAUGGCAGCAGAAUAUCAAAUUCUUCCCAAAAGAAGUCCAAGGAGAGCAAAAAAGAAAUACGUUGAGUUGAAGUGCACAAUACAAAAUAUUACGAGAGCAGCUAAGAGGGCACACAAAAAAACAUUUAGAAACAAAACAAAAAUUGAAACUUAUAAUGGCAAAUAGAAACCUCACAAUUGUUUUGAAGGAUGUUCAUGACACCACUGUUAAUUUUAUUGAAAAUCAGAUUCGUAACCAAAAAUUGGAUACUAUGGAAGAUAAAAGUAGGCAUAAGAAUUUAGACAAUUUACCAAUUAAAGCUUAUACUAAAUGUUUAAAAAUGAAAAAAUUAA